CUCUGGUCACAGCGGUGCAGGUGGUGAGGAUGGCGCAGGGAGGCAGCAGGACAGGCUCGGGGGGCAAGAAGGAGGAUCAGAGGGACUGGUCUGGAGUCCCGGGGAGACCAGCAGUCCUCGCCAUGGGGACGAAAGACAACUGAACUCCCAAAUCCACGGCACCCCAGAUGGAAACCAGGACUGGGGUCAAAGCCACGACCCUGAGCACGUUGCUUCUCACGCUGGGCCUCGGUCUCCCCGAUUGCCCACUGAAGAGACUCUACACAAACAUCUUAAAGGCCAGGCCUAUCGUUGAGAGCCUGCAGAUGCACCCCAUAUACUCUGCCCAAUUUCAAAUUCUAGGGCAGAAAUACAAAUCCCAUCAACCGUAA